UUUAUUUAUUUAUUUAUUUAUUUAUUUAUUUAAGACUCAGGUCAGGUGCUCUCUCAAACACAUCAGCCAAAAACUUUGCUCACCAUUCGCCAAAAUGAUAGCUAAAUUAUGGCACAGCAUAUGCAUGAUCCAGUUGGGGGCAACUACAGGAAAAAGGCCGGAAAGUCCAUUUCACAUGAGCCAGAAACUACUUGCGUGCUUACAUUUACACAAGAACAUAACGGACAGGGCCAACUGUUCUUAGAUGUUUAUUUCAC
rnacentral:lncRNA from 7 species